GAUGAACGCUGGCGGUAUGCCUAACACAUGCAAGUCGAACGAUUCUUCGGAAUAGUGGCGGACGGGUGAGUAACGCGUGAGAAUCUGCCUUCAGGAGGGGACAACAGUUGGAAACGACUGCUAAUACCCAAUGAGCCGAAGGUAAAAGUUAUAUGCCUGAAGAGGAGCUCGCGUCCGAUUAGCUAGUUGGUGGGUAAAGCUACCAAGGCAACGAUCGGUAGCUGGUCUGAGAGGAUGAGCAGCCACACUGGGACUGAGACACGGCCCAGACUCCUACGGGAGGCAGCAGUGGGGAAUUUUCCGCAAUGGGCGAAAGCCUGACGGAGCAAACCGCGUGAGGGAGGAAGGCUUUUGGGUUGUAAACCUCUUUUUUCAAGGAAGUGACGGUACUUGAAGAAUCAGCAUCGGCUAACUCCGUGCCAGCAGCCGCGGUAAUACGGAGGAUGCAAGCGUUAUCCGGAAUUAUUGGGCGUAAAGCGUCCGCAGGUGGUUAUCAAGUCUGCUGUCAAAGAGAGCUUAACUCUGGCAGGCAGUGGAAACUGGACUAGAGUCGGUAGGGGUUGAGGGAAUUCCCAGUGUAGCGGUGAAAUGCGUAGAUAUUGGGAAGAACACCAGUGGCGAAGGCGCUCAACUGGGCCGAACUGACACUGAGGGACGAAAGCUAGGGGAGCGAAAGGGAUUAGAUACCCCUGUAGUCCUAGCUGUAAACGAUGAACACUAGGCGUUGCUGUAUCGACCCGGCAGUGCCGUAGCCAACGCGUUAAGUGUUCCGCCUGGGGAGUACGCACGCAAGUGUGAAACUCAAAGGAAUUGACGGGGGCCCGCACAAGCGGUGGAGUAUGUGGUUUAAUUCGAUGCAACGCGAAGAACCUUACCAGGACUUGACAGUUCGCGAAUCUGGGAAACUCGAGUGCCUUAGGGAGCGCGGAAACAGGUGGUGCAUGGCUGUCGUCAGCUCGUGUCGUGAGAUGUUGGGUUAAGUCCCGCAACGAGCGCAACCCUCGUUCUUAGUUGCCAGCAUUAAGUUGGGCACUUUAGGAAGACUGCCGGUGACAAACCGGAGGAAGGUGGGGAUGACGUCAAGUCAGCAUGCCCCUUACGUCCUGGGCUACACACGUACUACAAUGGUUGGACAAAGGGCAGCACCGCGAGGUAGCGAAUCUCAUAAACCAGCCUCAGUUCAGAUUGCAGGCUGCAACUCGCCUGCAUGAAGGAGGAAUCGCUAGUAAUCGCAGGUCAGCAUACUGCGGUGAAUUCGUUCCCGGGCCUUGUACACACCGCCCGUCACACCAUGGAAGUUGGCCACGCCCGAAGUCGUUACCCUAACCGUUGGGAGGGGGAUGCCGAAGGCAGGGCUAGUGACUAGGGUGAAGUCGUAACAAGGUAGCCGUACGGAA
rnacentral:rRNA from 1 species